AUGAAAGAUUUAGGAGUGGCCGAUGUCAUUCUAAAUAUCAAGUUGUUGAGAGAUGAUGAUGGUGGGAUCACAUUGCUUCAAUCUCACUAUGUGGAAAAGAUCUUGAGUCGCUUUGGCUACAGUGACUGCACUGCGAAUUAUGGAAUUCACUGCACUGGGCACCCAAAGGUGCUUGAAGGGUAUAGUGACUCAAACUGGAUCUCAGAUGCUGAUGAGAUAAAAGUCACGAGCGGUUAUGUAUUCACUCAUGGAGGUGGCGCUGUUUCUUGGAAGUCUUGCAACCAGACCAUCUUAACGAGGUCAACAAUGGAAGCAGAACUCACAGCACUAGAUACAGCUACGGUCGAGGCAGAUUGGCUUCGUCGGCUUUGA
rnacentral:rRNA from 1 species